rnacentral:lncRNA from 10 species
ACACUGAAAUAGGUAAUGAUAAUAAUAGCUACUGCUUUUUAAGUUCCUAGGAAAAAUUAGAUGUUCUGUAAAUACUACCUCUGAUCCUACUAUCUUUAUAAGUUACAUAUUAUUUGCCUCAUUUUAGAGAAACUGGGAAAGUGGCCCGAGGUCUAAGAGCUGGAAACAAACAGUAGAACCAGAAUGUGAAUCCAGGUCUGGAAUAUGACAGCUACUCACUGUCAAGGAAUUAAUGAGUCUAUAGUACUAUGCAGCACUGAGCAUGUUCUCCUAUCUCCUCAAAGAAGAGAGAGAACCCUUACAUUUACUUAUCAGAGAACUGAGAAAAUGAAACCACAUUCUUCAUGUGUGAAGAAUCAAGUGACAUUGUACCCUAGGGACUCAAUAAGGCUACUCCAUCUUGCAAAAAAAAAGAUAUCUUACUAGAAAUAUUAAAAUAAAAUGUCAAGAUGUGUAUU